ACCCAGUUAGUUCAAGGGUAGAAUGCUGGUUUCCCAUGUAACAGUGAGAAUUCUCCAGAGAUUCGGGUUCGAGUCCCGGGCUGGGUA